rnacentral:rRNA from 1 species
UACAGAGGGUGCAAGCGUUAAUCGGAAUUACUGGGCGUAAAGCGUGCGUAGUCGGCCAUUUAAGUCGGGUGUGAAAUCCCCGGGCUCAACCUGGGAAUUGCAUUCGAUACUGGAUGGCUAGAGUUCGGCAGAGGGAAGCGGAAUUUCCGGUGUAGCGGUGAAAUGCGUAGAUAUCGGAAGGAACAUCAGUGGCGAAAGCGGCUUCCUGGACCAGAACUGACGAUCAGGCACGAAAGCGUGGGGAGCAAACAGG